GGCACAGACAAGUAUUCAAAAGGCCCGGCAUCAUUUAGAGAACUCCACACUUGUAGCUCUGGUGCUCAGUUGACUUGUAUUUAUUUUCAGGAAGAAGGAAAAAGGUGCCUCUGGUGACUUGCAGCAGGUGGGAGUGACACAGAGGAGUGAGUUUCCCUGGAGCUGCACACCUCCCAGGUGCGACCACCCAACAACUCACUGAGCUGGAACAGGCAAGAAGCCAGGGACAAAUCAGCAAGCCACAUCAUCGGGGUCGAUUGGGUCAUCCUUUGAGAAAUGCUGGGAAAAGGGUUGAAGCAAAGGGUUAGCUUUGCUCUUCCACAAUCUGCCUCCACGACACUUUUCCCAAUACGGAGGGGAGAAUGACUGCAAUCCACCUCCGCAAAAAGCAAAAUCGGAUCAGAGAGAAGAGAGAGUGGGUCUUGGUGAUGGGUUGAGAGUGGUGACAGAGCUCUGUACUGUACACACCAGUGAUCAACAAACCACAGAAGCACAAAUGAAUUGUUUAUACCGGGGUCUAUACUUCUUAAUCUUAACAUUUCUAACAUUUACAUAGUUGGAGAGUUUCUGGAUUUUUAUCACAAUUAGUCUCAAGUAUAAGCACUAACUAGGUGUGUAAGGCAUUGUUUCAGCUAUUGAGUCGGACUCCGCCACUUUUAAGCGCUCUGAGACGCUGCCCUGCGUGGAAAGUGCUAUAUAAGUGCAAGUUGUUGCUGUUGUUGUUGAGAGACUGAGGUUCUGCGCUCUGAGAGAUGAAUGGUGAAGAGGGAGGACGGCCAACACAUCAAUCAGCCAGAGGUGCAGUGCUGCAUCUCUGGUUAGUUGUGAGUCUGAGAUGAAGCACUGUAGCUCUGGAGGAUGAACACUGCAUCAAUGGCCUUGAACAAGGAGCCCGACACCUCUCAAGGUAACACUCUGCGCGGAUGAUCUUCUAUUGAUAAAGAACGUUAGACUCAGGCAAACGGUUCAGCAGAUGGCCACCAAACGGUUCAUUUCAAGCUUGUACCAAAGAACAUUCUUACCAAUUUUACACCAUAAAAGGCGCAAUCAGGGAUCCCUGAACUUAUACAGCAAUUAAAUCACUAAUAAAUCACAUUUUGAAAAGAUUUUAGUGUCGUACUUAUCGAUUGACAGCUGUGAGUCUGCGAUUGAUGUAAUCACAUGGUUUCUUGAGAGAGUUGGGGGAAAAGGAGGUGAAAAUGGCUUCUGAAGUGACAACUUCUAAUUCAGUUUCUGAACUCACAGAUGCACUGAAAAGUACAUUAAAAUCAGAAUUAAUAAACUCCUCGGUAAUCUCCUCGCGCGGAUUCUGAAAAAAGUUAAGUGUCAUUGUUCAUUAUCUUUUUCGUGACUUCUUUGAAAAUGAUUUUUUAAAAAUCUAGUGGCUCUGAAUAUGUGGUAAUGGUUCAGGAGAUCAUAUGUAACAUGUAAAAGUAAGAGGUUGAAGUAAAAAUCUGUCUAACUGUCUCUAUUUCCAAGAUAGCAUGUGUUUAGCAAAUUAAUCAGCUUCACAACUUAGAGCCCAGGUUACAAUACUCUUUGUGUAAUAUAUGUAGGGUAUUAGGCUCAAGUUCUUUUCUCUUCUAUUCUCAUGUAAAACUAACACUUUCCAGACCUCAAUGCCUGCUUAAUUACCUAUCUCCAGAGGACAGAGCUAAUGUAGACUUAUGUAGUAAUGUAUGAAGCUCAGUGUGGUUUGUAGCGGGUUUUUGUGGGUUAACUAACAGGUCGCAGAGUUUCUCCUGAUUACGUAAAUCCUUGCUCUGUAACUCUCCUAAAACUCCUGAUGUAUUUUACCGAGAGUCUAUCCUGGCCCUUGUUUGAUGUAAAUAUUAAGAUUUACCUCAGUUUUAAGUCAGUUUUGUUUACUUUAUCCCAAAAUAAAUCUACAAAGGCAGCGUUCUCAGACUUCCUGCCAGUCGCUCAUGGUGAAAGGAAUGCAGCUUUCUGUUUCUCUUGAGAAUCUCUUGUUUUGCAGCAGGCUUCAAUCUCCGAUCUUCCUGUGCCCUUCUCCUCAGGGUCCAGUUUUCCCAGGAAUCCCUUCUGUGAUGAUAAGGGGAUUCCUGGAAAUACUGUUCUUGGGGGCAAGGCUUGGCGGCUGAAGAUCAUCGAGGAGCCUGCAGUGGGGAGAGGAAGAUGGGACAAGGAAGAAUAAGUGAGGUCGGUGGACUAGCUGCUGUGGGAAGAGGAAUAAUAAUAAUAAUGAUCCUUGCAUUUGCUAUAACGCCUUAUCAAAAUCGUCGAGAAGUAUCAAAGCGCUUCACAGGAUAUAUUAUAAAGUGGAUUGACUGUAUAUUUUUGGGGCAAAAUGGGACAGUCAAUUGUGCACAGCAAUGUCCUACAAACAGCCAUGAAUUGAGUGACCAAAUUAUUAUUUAUUUAAAAAAUAUGUUUGAAGGGAUUAUUACCCCGGAAAAACGAUCCGCCAAUCGACCAACAACCGGGUUCCUCCUUAUUGCUCAGUAAACAGAGGCGUGUGGAGUAAGGAAACUUGCCUCAUGCUUUGCCCUGCCCGGGAAUUGAACCCGGGUCCUCUCGCUUGCGAGGAAUAAUAAGCGGCUAGAAGACGUCUAGAAGAUGUGAAAAGUGCUAUAUCAAAUGCAAGGAUGACUACAUAUAUUAAUAAUCCUUGCAUUUAUUAUAACGCCUUAUCAUGUCGUCGAGAUGUCUGAAAGUGCUUCGCAGGCUAUGCUGUUAUGUGGAGUGACUGUAUAUUUUGUGAGUGAAAUGUGGCAACCAGUUUGCACACAGGAAGAAUGCUGAGUGUACGUGGGAGUAUACAUUCACACUGUAACAAAUUGAUAUUGUUGCCUAAUUUACAAUAAACCAAUGUAACAGUUAACAUGAAAUGCCAAUAAAUUAUGAAUUAUUGAA